rnacentral:rRNA from 1 species
UACGUAGGGUGCAAGCGUUGUCCGGAAUUAUUGGGCGUAAAGAGCUCGUAGGCGGUCUGUCGCGUCUGCUGUGAAAACUCGGGGCUUAACCCCGGGCCUGCAGUGGGUACGGGCAGACUAGAGUGCGGUAGGGGAGACUGGAAUUCCUGGUGUAGCGGUGAAAUGCGCAGAUAUCAGGAGGAACACCGGUGGCGAAGGCGGGUCUCUGGGCCGUAACUGACGCUGAGGAGCGAAAGCAUGGGGAGCAAACAGG